rnacentral:rRNA from 1 species
GACGUAGGAUGCAAGCGUUUAUCCGGAAUUAUUGGGCGUAAAGCGUACGUAGGCGGUUUCUUAAGUCUGGAGUUAAAGACCGAGGCUCAACCUCGGGAGUGCUCUGGAAACUGAGAGACUGGAGGACGGCAGAGGAAAGUGGAAUUCCCAGUGUAGCGGUGAAAAUGCGUAGAGAUUGGGAGGAACACCAGUGGCGAAAGCGACUUUCUGGGCCGUUCCUGACGCUGAGGUACGAAAGCCAGGGGGAGCAAACGGG